rnacentral:rRNA from 1 species
GAUAAACGCUGGCGGCGCACAUAAGACAUGCAGGUCGAACGAACUUAAUUCAUUCUUUUAGAUUGAAAGCGGUUAGUGGCGGACUGGUGAGUAUAACGUAAGCAACCUGCCUAUAAGAGGGGAACAACAGUUAGAAAUGACUGCUAAUACCGCAUAUGCCAUAAUAAUCACAUGAUUAAAGUGGGAAAGGAGCAAUCCGCUUAUAGAUGGGCUUACGCCUGAUUAGCUAGUUGGUGAGGUAACGGCCUACCAAGGCGACGAUCAGUAGCCGAACUGAGAGGUUAAACGACCACAUUGGGACUGAGAUACGGCCCAGACUCCUACGGGAGGCAGCAGUCGGGAAUAUUGCGCAAUGGAGGAAACUCUGACGCAGUGACGCCGCGUGCAGGAAGAAGGUUUUCGGAUUGUAAACUGCUUUAGACAGGGAAGAUAAAAGACAGUAC